UUUGAUACUAAACCACGAUGCACGAUGGUACGAUGACGAAAACGCGAUGGCGCGAUGGCACGAUGAUGAACCAACGAUGGUACGAUGGUAAAAACGCGAUGGCACGAUGAUAAAAUCGCGAUGGUAUGAUGGUGAAAUAUAGAUGUAAUAUCGCAUUUUCAUCACCGUACCAUCGCGUUUUCACCAUCACACCAUCGUGCCAUCGCGUUCUGCUUAGUGACAUUGGAGAGUGUGUGUGCUCUAAUGUGUUGAACUUGGGAAAAUAUUUCUGUCAACUGUUCAUGCGUAAGAUUGAUCACAUUUAUCCCGUCAAGUAGACAUCGUACAAGAGCCUUUUACGCUAUCGAAUAUUGCCGGAAGUAGAACAUUUAUGUCAACACCGGUUUUGUUAUUCACGUGAAAACUGCCGAAAACUGAGAGGUUAUCAACAAAAUGUCAAUUUGCGAGUAACAUAAGGAUAUUACAUGCAUUUAAACGUUUAGUAUAAUAUUUAUGGAUUAUUGAAUACAGUAUGGAAGUAAACUGUUACGCUAUAAAUGGAAACUAUGAAAGAAAAGUCGAUAAGAAAAUAUUGCCUUUCUACAUUCAUUUUCAUUGUCGCUUUUAAAGUUGCUCAGAUAUAUUCUUUCCAUUUAUUUGUUAUUUCUUGAUUUUUGUUUAUAGAUACAUAUUCCUAUAGCAAAUUAUUGUGUGAAAUUACAGCUUAUUUAAAGUAUCUGCGAUUAACUGGGCUUAUGUUGAACGACUUUCCUUUCAGAGUGACCCUUAACCUUAUUAUAGCUUAUAGUCUGUUCUAUGUAUUUUAGCUGUAUUCAAAACAGGAAGUAAUCGAGUUAAAACGAAUUUUCAUAAUAAACUAUUGCAAAUUGUAGGAAUAGAACAACAUUAUAUAUUUAUUAUAAGAGUAUUGAAAUAUAUUAAUUACUCCAUUUCAGACAGAAGUACAAGCCAACAAUGACACAUUUAAAGUUGCUGCAGAAGCAGGGCCAGUCAAAGCAAAAUAGAGCCCUACAUGUCUAACACAAAUAAAAGAAGGGGAAGAUGUUCUAAUGAUACAGUGAUGUACAUAUGAUGAUUUUAAGUUUACCAGGUGAAGUGUAGAAUGUUGUGUGAAUUCGUAUGAUGCCAGUGUUGAUGUGUAUGAUUUAAUUAAACACAGAUAUUGAUAUCUUCAGAUAUGCCUGUGAAAUCUUCAUUGUCACCCUUCAGCUAUGCUUCAAGAUCAGUGUCUGCAACUUGCACAGCUCACUAUAGAGGAGCCUUCCAUUGGCUUUACUUUUCGUUGUGCCCGUUUGCGGAAGUGAAGACAUAGUUGUCCAAAUUGUAUGCGUGCGUCUGUCCAGAUUUGUUUGCCUGGACUAUAUUAUUGAUUAGUCUUAACAAAACUUUGCAGGUUAAUUCCCUUAAGUUCCUUGUCAACUUUGAAAGUUGCAUGAUUACUUUAGCAACACUACAGUAUGUCACCAUUGUACUAGUCAAAAGUUUCAUAUGUCAGAAUUUUAUCAAGUCAUUACAAGCUACAGGUAGGCAUUGUAACUGAAAAUACAAACUUCAAGUAGGAGCUAUCCAUAUUAUAUGUAUGUGAAGUUAACUGCAUCAGAAUACAAGGACUGAAAAAAUUAUUAAAAUAUCAUUUCCUGAAAAAGAGUUAUUUGAGCUGAAAAAAAAAUGAUCCCGGAUGAAAUAUUUGGAAAAAAUGGGGACAACUCCGCAAAGACUUUAUGAUAGGCUUAGGUGACAAUUGACCUAGUACCUCAUCCAAACUACCCACUGUUUACGUCUAACCAUGAAAAAAGCAUGCACAUUUGCCACAUGGAUUAGCAACCUCAAUACAAAACUAUGUAAAGAUCAAAUAAUUGAUUGCCCUGGGGGAAAAGUAGAACAUUUUUGUGGUGAAAUUUGUCAACAAACAGACGAUUUUUUGAAAAAAGUCAAAACCCACAGAAUUUCACAAGGUGAAAUAUGUUGAAAAGGCUACUGCUGAAAAGAGAACAAUCUCAACUACCCAUACAUAUGCGUCAAAGUAUGGGAAAAAUAUCUAGAAAUAUGAGAAAAUCGAAGAAAUCAAUUUCAAGACUGUUAGAUGCAUAACUGUGUAAUUAUAUAUGGCAUUUAUCAUAGAUAGGUUACUUUUCCUUUGCACUGAUAUAACAUGGGCAGGAUUAGGAUAAAAAAAAAACGGUGUUCACUCAAAAAUUUCACUAUAUAAUUAGAUUGUUUCCCUUGCGUAAAAAAGGCUUAGGGUAAAUCUCUACUACAGGUCUAGCAGCCUUCAUAAAACUUUCAUUAUUUUUUCAAAAUUUUUGUGUUUGGAUUCAAAUACGCAUUAUUCAAACAUUAAGAAGUAGACGUAUUAUAAGGAAUUAAUUGACAUAUAUAAUAUUUGAAAUAGCCAUAUAUAUGGUGACUGUUUCUAUUUAUAUUGCUGUCCCAUUUAUAUGUACUGUUUUAGCUCACCUGAGCCAAAUGCUCAAAGUGAGCUUUUGUGAUCGCUCGAGGUCUGUAGUGCGUCGUGUGUCAACACUUUGUAAAAGAAAUCUUCUUUUUAGAACCACUGUGCAGAUUUACACCAAACUUCACAGGAUGAUCUUUCAAAAUUGCCAGAAGAAUUUAAUUCCAUGCAGAACUCUGCUUGCUAUGGCAACCAAAAGGUAAAAGUUUGAAAAUCUUUUUGUCAGAAACUGUGAUUUCAAAAAUAUUUUGUAGAAAUGAUCUCUAGGUGACCCUCUUCCAAAAUUGUCUAAGCCUUUCUGUUUCCACCAGGGGGCGGGGCUGACUUUCCCUAUAUGGCAAUAUUGUAAAUUUCAAAAAUCUUAUUCUUCAAAACCACUGAUUUACACUAAACUUCACCGAAAUGAUCCUUGGGUGCCCCCUAUCAAAAUUGCCCAAAGAAUUUAAAUCCAUGCAGAACUCAUGGCAACCAAAAGGAAAAACUUUAAAAUCUCCUUGUCCAAAACCACAGUAGCUAAGGGUUUGAUAUUUGGUACAUGUAUGUGCCAUCAUCUAAUGGUCCUCUACCAAGUUAGUUCAAAUUAUCCCCCUAGGGUCAAAUAUUGGCCUGCCUUAGCAUCAGUUUGACAUUUGAUACAUAUUUCUCAGGUGAGCGAUCCAGGGGCAUUAUGACCCUCUUGUUUAUGAAUUGUAGUUAUGUUCUUUAUCUCAUGAUUUAAUGUCUAUCGUGUAAACAAAAGUAUGUAUGCAGAUAUCUCAUGUCAAACCAUUUUAUGUUUUUUACUGUCAACAAAGUGCAAUACCACAUAUUUAUUACUUUCAUAUACAUUUUUCAUAAAACAUUAUAUAUAUAAUUACAUGUCAUAUAAACAGAAUUGAAUAAAUAUUUAAGAACAUCAGUGUUUUCUGAUUGCUAAAUGAAACAGACCAUAGGUCAUGUUGGGGUCAAUUCAGACUC